rnacentral:lncRNA from 1 species
UGUGAUUAUGGUAAGAGAAUGGCAAAAGCGUAAGCUUCAAAAUGAUCUACGAGUAGUUGGAGAUACUUCGUAGGAACUAGUACGACGCGACGUACGGAAUUAUUCGCUGUUGGAACUAAAUCAGCCAGUUGGAAUUGUACGCCGUGGUAGAAGCAACGCUCAGGCAUGAAAUUUAAUCAAGGUCGCCGGAGAUGCACAUAUGUAUCUAUGAAUUCGGUGUUAGAGAGAUUGUACCUGGUAUAUAUAUCUUGGAUGAUAUCUUUACAAAACGAAAGAAGAAGAAUAACUGAAGAACUGACUACAGAGACUUCUCUUUUAUGUCACACACACAAAACACAAAAAAAAAGAAAGGAAAAAGAAGAAGAAACCAUCGUAGAGAAAGUAAUAACGGGGGGUAGGUAUUAAUCACACCUAGACGACCAAAUAAUUUUCUCGCCCUUUUGCGACACGACGACCUACGCGUUAAGAAAAAUGUUGUUCUAUCUUUCUCCUUCACUUUCCGUGUUUAUCCCGUUAUCAGGAGUCAGACAGAGAAAAAGAAAGAAAGAAAGAAAGAAAGAGAGAGAGGGAGUAUGAGAAGGUUUGAGGUUCACAUCGUGAAGAUAAUAAGGUAGAAGAAAAGCCGAGA